UAUUCCUACCCGGAAAUCUUGAACUGAGUGUUGGGUUGGAGUGGCGGCUUGGGGCGCAGCGUCCCUGAACUUCCUAGAGUUUCUCAGAUUGUUAGAUAUUGAAGGUAGUGUUGAAAAAUCAUUGCAGUGAUCCUAGGGAUGGGAAGCUCGAGUCGUUCCACCUGUGUCUUCCGCACCGCAGGAGUUUUGCUGAAUUAAAAGGCACUACUUUAAUUAAAAAGCAGGAUAAACCUGGGUUUGGAGUUCGGAAGGCCUUAGGCUCAAGGGCUCCAGUUGAGGAAGCGUGAACAUUUUGACUGGAGUUGAUCUUAACCCAAUGGACUUUCCCUGUGCUGACCAACCCUUUCAUCACAAGCAAUAUAUUCGGUUGCUGAGCCCUGGAAAUGUAAGCAGUCUGAAGUGAGAGAUGCUGUAAAUGAACACUGUACACUGACAAGUACCCAACACUUCCCCAAAGAGAGUAAAAUACCUCAUUAAUAGUAAUAGUGCAUAUAUUCCAGUUAUUUGCUGGCCAAUUUUUUAUGUGUUCGGUUAAAGAAUAUUUACUGUCACUCACCUGUUUGGUUUUACUGUCUUUGAACUAGGGCAUCAGAAACGAUGGGGCUGCGUGCUUAACUCCCAUUGUUAUGGCUCCAGCUCAGCACUCCACAGACAGAAAGCCUGUGGUGAGGAGCAGUGGGUAUCUGCAAAGGCUUUCUCUUCUUAGACCGGGUUUCUCUGUGUAGCCCUGGCUGUCCCGGAACUCAAACUUUGUAGACCAGGCUGGCCUCAAACUCAGAAAUCCACCUACCUGUGCCUCCCAUGUGCUGGGAUGAAAGGCAUCUGACGCUGCCAUGUUGCCUGCAUCUACUUCUAAAUGAAUGAAAUUCGAGAGCUAAUGAAAUGAAUGGUUAAUAAAAGAGUGUUGAACCCCUUAAAAGGAAGUUCAUUAUGUCUUUGUUAAUGACGGAAGUGUACAAAAAGACUCAGGCCCUAAGUAUUUGCUUUGCUUGAUGAGAACUACAUGGUAUUCAUAAUCAUCUCUGACUUAGGUGCCCCUGCUGUGAAACAGCGCUAGGUACCAAAGCUGCCAAUUGCAUAUCUUUCCUUUCCUUUCCUUUCCUUUCCUUUCCUUUCCUUUUCUUUCUUUUUCUUUUUUUGACGGUAAGAGCACUGAACUUUCAUUUAGCGUGAAUCUAGAUGCAGUGAUAUUUCUUUUCUUUUUUUCUUUUUAUUUUAGGGAAGGACAAUCUCACUGUGUAGCUGUAGGCUUAUCUCCAAUGCAGCAGCCCCCCCCCCCCCCAGUCUAUAACAGUGGGAAUUGAGCUGUAUACCCCCAUGCCAAGCUUGUAUUUCUUAAUAAAAGUGAGAACUGAUCCAUCAAGGAGAGGUCAAGUUUGGUGAAGAAAAUAGGGCUUUGGAACAGCACAGUCAGACUGAAUUUUGUUCUAGCCUGAGCUGUGUAAACCUUCAUCUAGUUUCAUGUCUG
rnacentral:lncRNA from 1 species